AUUCUCUGGCUUGAGCUUGAGCUAUGCGAUUGUACUUCGCAUUCAUUUUAUUGCCCACUCAAUAGCUCACUUGACAGACCUGUUAAAAGCCAAACCCUCUUGUCAAAUUCAUUUGAUUUAAUUUUAUUUCGGUUUCAUGAUGCUUUUUAUUUUUAAAAAUUAUUUUAACUAUAAAACCAUGGGACGCUGACAGCCUUAUCUACGUCCAUGCUGACAGCGAUCCGUUACAUUACCACGUAUAAGACAAGUGAAUCGUUCUGCACAAAACCUUCCACCCACAGCAGACGCGACCCCAAAACCAGUGACACAAAAUGCAUUGAGUCUGGCUGGUGCUGAAAAAGGCGCUAUACAAAUAUUUUAUUUAUUAUUAAACGAAAAACAAGGAAUUCUAAAUUUCUACUUUCAGAGCCACAGCUGCAUGGGUGAUAACUCUUGGCAAACUUAUGGAGUUGUAGUUCUUUCUUAUAGGCCCAUGCGGCAUUGAGUUGUGUUUCGGUAAAGGACAUUUGCCGAACUGUACGAGGUUUCUUUGUCGCUGAUGGAUAUUUCUUGUUUACUAAAUGAAACAAGCCAGGAAUAAUAUGUCUGCAUCAUAUAGAAGGCUCAUUGAACACAUGCAGCCAUGUACGCAACUUCUCAUCUUCAGUUUGUACAUGUCAGGUUUCCGCUUCUGAAAGUGAGAAAUAUACGAUGGUAUUGCUCGGGAAUUCUACAAACUAAACCACACUGGGCAAACAGCAAGAUGGACAGACAACAGUGGAAGGGGAAAAAGUCAAAGUUAUCUUUUGAAAAGAAACUACAUCAUGAACUUUUAAAAGUGUUGAACAAACGAGCUGCACAACUCAUCUUACACAGAGAAACUCACCAACUCCAUCGUAUAUUGGUCACCAACUUCAGCUUCAUGGAUUUUCCAGUUCAGAUGCCC